AUCUGACUUCAGCCCAGAACGCAGCAUCACCGACCUAUCCAAAUAAUGGAGUUACAGAGCAGAGCACACGAGUGCACCCACAUACCAAUAGCCAGAAAACCUACAUCCUUCAUGAUUGCAGACCUUCUAAACCUCAGGGAAGCGGAUACUCUUGUCAGCACAUGCGCAGGGACACACGAACAAAGCAAAGAUGCUACAUGUCAUUUACAGCAAGCGGAAUCUGCCAUUCGCACAUGCGCAGAGACACCAGACAGCGUGCAGGAUUCGCAGCACAAGUGUGCAGAACAGAGAGGUAAGUAUUUUUCAGGUUCCACAGGUAUCCCAGAUAAUGAAGCCCAGUCCUCUAAGGCAAGGAAUAAGCGCCCGGUAUUUCAUCCCGACGUGGUAGCUCAGCUCGAGCAAGUAUUUGAGGAACGACGAUACAUCAGCGCAGACCAGCGGUUUGCACUCGCUAAGGAGCUCAACAUGACAGAGGAACAAGUCAAGAGUUGGUUCCACAACAAACGCACGGCCAUGACGAAAAAGCUCGCCGAGGCCGGCCAACGUGCUGCCAAACUUGCUUACCUACAGACUCUCGCCAGCAAGCUGCUGCCAGCGGAAUCCCCACAAGAUGCCAUGCCUCAAGGCCGUCUCCAUAGUUACGACAUCACGUCAGUUCGUUCUAAAAAAUAUCCAAAGUCAUCACGUUCGUAUAAAGACAACAUCUCUACAGCGCACUUGAGAAAAGCAAACGAGGCUGCCCAUUCCUAUGGCAGCUACCCUUCAAUUCCGCAUCUCGUGUACAGAUGGUCUGAGCCACCGCUGACCAGUGCUCCAGGGUACAUGCAUCUCGGCUUACCGGCUCCAGGUAUUCUCUCUUCAUCUUCGCUGGCUCUUCAGAAAGUCCCAUUUGGUUGUCUGCGCUCCUUAAAUCACUUCAGAAGAUAAGUAUACCACAACGCGAUACGAGAUCCCAUUGAGUUGUGUUGAGGUAAGAACAUUUAUUGAAUUCUCAAGUAACAGGGUGGUAAAGAGUAUUUUCGUGAUUCGUGAUUGGCCCUAAAUCAAAUUCGUGAUUCGUGAAAAGCCUAAAAAUAAAUUCGUGAAUUGUGAUCGAGCACUCUAUCGUGAUCUGUGAUUGGGGUAUUUUAACUUUCUCGACUCGUGAUUUUGCAUGGCUAAAUUCGUGAAAUGUGAUCGAGUACUCUAUCGUGAUCCGUGAUUGGGGUAUUUUUACUUUCGUGACUCGUGAUUCCGCAUGGCUAAAUUCGUGAAAUGUGACCGUAGACGCCGAGAAUAAUUAAAACACGAAAUGCAUGUUUUGCGACUGCAAAACAGUGCUCAACUACACAGGAGCCGUAGUACAAUCACUCCGAAUCGAUUGUAACGGGUUUUUUUUCGCGUCACGAUAUAUACAUUUAUACGUAGAAGUAAACAUUGACGUCAUUGCGUGUGAGUUUAACUGAGGAGUGGAUCAACCGCAGCGUUGAUCUAUGUAUAUCAAAUGAUAUAUUCAUAAUCAAAGCAAAAGUUAAAACCGUAAUUCGUGAAAGCUUCUUUUUUAAGUUCGUGAUUCGUGGAAACUAAUAACUUCGUGAUUCGUGAUGAGCACCCCCUCUUCACCACCCUGAAGUAAGGACUGAAAUAAUGUCAAUUUUAUAUACCAUCUAUUGCAGUGUUAAAAUGUGUUUAGCUGUUACUUGUGGUGUUGUCUUGAUUUUUUUUCUAUUUACUCCACAGAGGAAGACCUCUUACUUGUUGCAGGCCACGUGUCUUGACCAUCCUGGACUGGGUAGCUGAGACCGAUCUAGUAAGGGUCGAAGAAAGAAGACAGCCCAUUCGUAUUAAAAUCGCGCAAGGAUAAAUGCUACCAAGAGCUUCAAAACAGAGAAAUAGAUGAGGAUCCAUGCAUAUACGAUCAGCAAAUUUGUAGAUAAAGAGAGGAGAGUUGUCAUCCAAGACUGAUGUAUUAAUGUAACUAUUGGGAAAUAAAAUCCAGUUGUAAACAAA